CGUAGGGUGCGAGCGUUGUCCGGAAUUAUUGGGCGUAAAGGGCUCGUAGGCGGUUUGUCGCGUCGGGAGUGAAAACCAGGUGCUUAACACCUGGCUUGCUUUCGAUACGGGCAGACUAGAGGUAUUCAGGGGAGAACGGAAUUCCUGGUGUAGCGGUGAAAUGCGCAGAUAUCAGGAGGAACACCGGUGGCGAAGGCGGUUCUCUGGGAAUGACCUGACGCUGAGGAGCGAAAGUGUGGGGAGCGAACAGGAUUAGAUACCCUGGUAGUCCACACCGUAAACGUUGGGCGCUAGGUGUGGGGUCCAUUCCACGGAUUCCGUGCCGCAGCUAACGCAUUAAGCGCCCCGCCUGGGGAGUACGGCCGCAAGGCUA
rnacentral:rRNA from 1 species